rnacentral:lncRNA from 1 species
UGAAGGUAAAAAAAAAAAAUGUAGAAUUGUCAGCCUGGUUUAGAGUGCAGCUCCCAAGACUUCCAAGUUAUGCCCAUGUGCUCGCCUUGUGUAUUUAUACUGUAUAUGUAGAGUCUAGAUUUAUAUACUGCAAUGUAAUAUAUAUAUAUAUAUUCCUUUUAUAAAAAGACAAUGGAAGUUACAAGUAGAUAAAACAUAGCUUCAUUUAUUUAAUGCCACUUUAAAUGUCUUAACUUUGUUUCCUGGUGGACUGCCGGGUAAUGCUUUUAGCUGCUGACAUGCUUGUCUUUCUGCCUCUCUAUCAUCUGUUUACCUUUUGGUUAAGUUAAUAAACUGAUUUGGGACUUGGUUGGCACAUGCUGCCGGACUCAAAGGGAUUGUAUCUGGAGUGUUAACCUGGUGGAUCUGGGUUUCAGAUGUGUCAGUAAGCAUUUUGGGAGCCCACGCUGGUCCGGCUCGAGGGAGCAGAGGGAGAGCCAGAGGGCCAGUUAGGAAGGGUCCUCGCCAUCGUCAAGCAUCAUUUGCGUUCCGAGGCAAGAAUGACAUCGUAGGAAAUCGCUGUCAGAUGCGACGGCUUGCUGGAGGGCAUCCUUAGGGGUAGUUUGGCUGGGGACACUGUAUAAAAUCAAACUUAGGAUCCAAGGUAGGACUUUGCCUUCUUUCCAGCAGCCUUUCCUGAGUCUCCAGUUGCUACCAUCGGCACAGUUCUUGAAACCAUCCUUGGUGCUCCAGAAGCCGGGAGGGCCUCUCUGGAGGGAAGGAGGAAGGUCUUCCCAAAAUUCAGUCAGAUCUGGGUGAGCUUCAUUCAACAAAUGCCCAUUGGCAUUCCAUCAUAUCAUUCCCUAAGAAACGGAUUCCUAAAGAGAUCCAGAUUAGCAAGUUUUCUGGGUCCCUGUGGGAUAUAGGAGAGAGUCAAGUAGGAGUUAUAAUAAUUGAUAAUAUGGGCAAGAAAAGGGGGCUUUCUGUUUCUGGCACUAGGUGACUAUAUUGUCAAGAUUAUCUGAGAAAAUGGGUUCCCUUGUUUUGUCUCCCUCCAGAAGCAGCUUGGCGACAUUUUGCCUGAAGGAAUAAUGUCUUAAAUUUUUCUUCUUUGGAGUCUUUUCAAAUUUGCUGUGCAGCACAGGAUCAUUAGGAAGUAUACAGUCUUACUCCAUGUCCUGAUUUCAGUGGUCUGGAGAAGUUUCGCCAAUGCCAACCCUUUUUUUCUAUAGAGCUGUUGCAAUGGCGCCAAUUACCACCUGUAUCCACAGUUCCACUCUGAGAAGUUAUUUCCAUUGUGUUGUGCAUGGCUGUUUCCCCUAGGAUCUCUAUGAAAAUGAAAUAACUUCUGGAAGGGAUGGCUAGGCUAGGCUAAAGUAACAAAGUAUGAAAUCUCGGUAACUUAGGGUAGUUUAGUUUUCAGCAUGUCAUAGGUAUUGCAAAUCGGGCAACUCUCCUUAGUGGCUCAAGGAUCCAGGCAGCUUCCAUCUUGCAACCUAGUGCCAUGGUGUCAGAUUUUUUUCCUUCAAAAUCACAGCGAUGGUGGAGAGAACUCACAACCGUUCCUGAC